UCUCAUCUUCACGCCCUCACCUUUCCACAACAAAUUAUUUUUGCGUCAAUCCAGCCCGCUGUUCUAUACUGUACCAAAGCUCUGUAAUUGCAAUGACGACAGCAGCUUCAGGCUUUUCGAGAGCCGAAGCUUUCUCUCUCUUCCGUUCUCUAUUACGAGUUGCUCGGCAAUUUCCCGAUUACAAUAUCAGAGAAUACACUAAGCGGAGAACGAUCGACGCCUUCCGUCAAAACCGCGACCUAGCGGAUGCUUCGACGAUUUCAUCAGUUUUUUCUGAUGGGAAAUCUCAACUCGAAGUGGCCAGAAGACAGGCUGUCGUUUAUUCAUUAUACGCGCCGAGUGUUAAGAGCGUCAUUGAGAUCGAGCAUCAAUGAAGAUUUUUUUUGGUACUUAUAGCAGUUGAUACCAAUUUGAAGACCUUCUUCUCUCGGGGUUGAAUGCUUUGGACGAGCAUCCAUGUACAUGUAGCUUGGUAGAAGAGGAAUUGAAGAAUCUUUGGAAACAAAUAUUUGAGGGAUUGUAUCUGAUAGACUCGUCUUCCUCUUAUAAUCAAGUCAAAGGGAUAGAUUAGUAUUUGGUAUCUUACAAGUGGAGAUGGUACUAAGCUAAUUCUGAGUCUGAUAGAUGCCGACUGUUUGUUAUAUUUGGUCUUUCUGGGGUAAGAGAUAUUUUAUUAAUUUUCUUGAAAGAAGGUAAAGUAUAUUUGUAUUUCUGAUAAUGAGAGGGAUAAAAUCCCUAUACUGAGUGACUGUACAGCUCAGAAUGUAUCACAAAUAUCUUCCAAAAAGUAUACUAAGUACAGAUAGAAAAGA